rnacentral:rRNA from 1 species
CCAAUAGCGUAUAUUAAAGUUGUUGCAGUUAAAAAGCUCGUAGUUGAACUUCGGGAUCAAUGUAUCGGUCGUGCCUUGGUAUGUACUGAUCUCAUUGGUUCUCACCUUCUGAAGAACCAUAAUGUCAUUCAUUUGAUGUUGUGGGGAAUUAGGACUGUUACCUUGAAAAAAUUAGAGUGUUUAAAGCAGGCUUACGCUUGAAUACAUUAGCAUGGAAUAAUGAAAUAGGACAUCCGAUUCUAUUUUGUUGGUUUCUAGGAUCGAUGUAAUGAUUAAUAGGGAUAGUUGGGGGCAUUAGUAUUCAAUUGUCAGAGGUGAAAUUCUUGGAUUUAUUGAAGACUAACUACUGCGAAAGCAUUUGCCAAGGAUGUUUUCAUUAAUCAAGAACGAAAGUUAGGGGAUCGAAGACGAUCAGAUACCGUCGUAGUCUUAACCAUAAACUAUGCCGACUAGGGAUCGGAUGAUGUUAAUUUUUUAAUGACUCAUUCGGCACCUUACG